rnacentral:rRNA from 1 species
GUGAACGCUGGCGGUAGGCCUAACACAUGCCAGUCGAACGGCAGCACCGUAAGAGCUUGCUCUUACGGGUGGCGAGUGGCGGACGGGUGAGGAAUACAUCGGAAUCUACUUUUUCGUGGGGGAUAACGUAGGGAAACUUACGCUAAUACCGCAUACGACCUACGGGUGAAAGCAGGGGAUCUUCGGACCUUGCGCGAUUGAAUGAGCCGAUGUCGGAUUAGCUAGUUGGCGGGGUAAAGGCCCACCAAGGCGACGAUCCGUAGCUGGUCUGAGAGGAUGAUCAGCCACACUGGAACUGAGACACGGUCCAGACUCCUACGGGAGGCAGCAGUGGGGAAUAUUGGACAAUGGGCGCAAGCCUGAUCCAGCCAUACCGCGUGGGUGAAGAAGGCCUUCGGGUUGUAAAGCCCUUUUGUUGGGAAAGAAAAGCAGCAGGUUAAUACCCCGCUGUUCCGACGGUACCCAAAGAAUAAGCACCGGCUAACUUCGUG